rnacentral:rRNA from 1 species
GAUGAACGCUAGCGGCAGGCUUAACACAUGCAAGUCGAGGGGUAUUGGUUUUCGGACCAAGAGACCGGCGCACGGGUGCGUAACGCGUAUGCAAUCUACCUUUUGCAGAGGGAUAGCCCAGAGAAAUUUGGAUUAAUACCUCAUAGUAUAGUACUUUGGCAUCAAGGAACUAUUAAAGUCACAACGGCAAAAGAUGAGCAUGCGUCCCAUUAGCUAGUUGGUAAGGUAACGGCUUACCAAGGCUACGAUGGGUAGGGGUCCUGAGAGGGAGAUCCCCCACACUGGUACUGAGACACGGACCAGACUCCUACGGGAGGCAGCAGUGAGGAAUAUUGGACAAUGGGCGCAAGCCUGAUCCAGCCAUGCCGCGUGCAGGAUGACGGUCCUAUGGAUUGUAAACUGCUUUUACACAGGAAGAAACAACGCUACGUGUAGCGUCUUGACGGUACUGUGAGAAUAAGGAUCGGCUAACUCCGUGCCAGCAGCCG